rnacentral:lncRNA from 1 species
GCAACAGGAGAAGACGCCAAGCCCACCGUCAGGCUGCCCAUCCUCACCGCGGGUGGGAAGACUUUCCUGGCAAGAUUGUGAAAUAUGAAGAUCGCUUUAUGGAGCAAGAAGAGAACACGCGAGCACCACGAUGGAGUGAUUGGGCAGAAGAAGCUGAAAGGAUGGUUCAAAUCGCCAAGAAAGAGAAAGAGGAGAUCUUAGCCCGAUUAGAAGCAUGG